rnacentral:tmRNA from 2 species
GGGGGCGAAAAUGGUUUCGACGGGGAUGUGAAUCCAGGAUAAGCGAGUCGUUGACGUCUAUCAACGCUAAAAGAGACAUUUAAAGUAAACGCAAAAGAUAACAAUUACGCUUUAGCUGCGUAGCAAUAACGUGGCUUGUUCUCUCUUAAGUUCCUGCGCUUAGGGGAUGAACACCAUAAUCAGCAGGGAACUACUAUUGGGGCUCUCCGACCUCUAGUAGACUAAUUGGAGAUAGCCGAACUGGAAUCCUGUCAUUGGGAGUCUGGCUAGGCGAAACUUUAAAACAGUGACUGCACUCGGAGAAGUUCCUGGUGAAGCAUUUUCGGACGUGGGUUCGACUCCCACCGCCUCCACCA